AACGAUAGGUCCUCGCAAAUUAAACGGUGCUGGCAUCUUAUACUGUAUAUUUUGAUGCACGCGGCUAUGGGUUACCAGCGAUGCAACCACACCCUUUUUCACGAACUCGGAAAUUUACAGCAGUAGGACGUCACCUCUUUAUUCUACAUUGCCAGCCUGCAUCUUUGCUUGCCGACCCGCAGAGUAUUGCCAAGAAGAACACGAACGGACGAACAUACCUCAUCUCGCAACUUUGAGCAUUUUUGCAAGUCUUCGACACCGGCUUUAAAGGAUGGCAGCGGCACCGCGUCAGAGAUACACGUACGGCUAUACCACUGUGCAGCAAGAACGGCAGCAAACUCUACGCCUUAAUGUUGCAGGGAUACAAGAAGAAAUAAUCACCGAAUUUGAAAAGCAGUUAGUAAACGCGAAGGCAGAAGUCGAGGCCCUCGACAAUGGCGACGAGGUGGACGAUUAUGUUGAC